ensembl:lncRNA
CACUUUGCUGUCUAACCUGACAACUGUACAAUGCUUGUCAUCAAAUUUGUAUUAGGGUUGUUGCGCAACAAUUGAUGCCUGGCACCUGGACCGAGGAGACUGGCUUGGACAUUGAGGUAAUAAUUGCUGAGAUAACAAGCACGUCAGGAAAAUGUGUGUAGGGCUAUGACUGUUCAUCUUACAACCUGUUUUAUGGCACAGGGUGUUCCACAACAACUAUAUGGCAUCGACUGUGGAGUCUUUAUGGUCAUGUUGGAUAUGCCUCAUCUCAUAAGGUGGUGGUGCAAGCUCCUUUUGGACAACUACGGGAUCGAAGGAUGUGGCAAAAGAUUCUGUCAUUUCACCCAAGAAGGACACCAGAUGGUGAAUGGACUCCUGGCACCGGUGUUCCGGGUAACACGGAAGCGGAAGGUUUUGACCAAGGUAAGAAGUUAUGUUUCUUAUAUACACCUAUUGCUGUAAUAUUACUUUAUAUACACAUCUUUUGCAGCUAUUACAGCUGUAACUCAUCUGGGAAGGCUCUCCGACAAGUGUAGGACUUGUGUCUUGUACAUGUCUGUAUCAGUAUGUUAAUGUUUUACGCUGUGUGUGUUGAGUGAAUGUGUCUGAGCGAGUGUAAAUUUGUGUACCAGCAUAUUAAUUUACUGCACUGUGUGUGUGUGUGCGUGUGUGUGUGUGUGUGUGUGUGUGUGUGUGUGUGUGUGUGUGUGUGUGUGUGGCACCUACACCUUUCAAAAAACGCUGGCCUGACGACCAGGAGGAUAUAAAUGACUAAAAACUAAUCAUUCCUGUUUAUAAUCUAUUUUUCUCAAUAAAAAGAGGUUUAAAAAAAAAAAAUAGUAAAAAGUGUCUCCCUCUCUCUCUCUCUCUGGGCCCCCGAAAUAUUGUAGAAGGGGCCCCUGCGAGAUGUUUGGCUGCGGCCCCCCCCCCCCCCCCCCCCCCCCCCCACACACACACACACACACACAUCCGCUCUGCCUCUGGGUCCCAAUUCUGGGGGCCCUCUUCUCCGUCCCCUUAAUUUUGUACUUUUUUUUGUGUUACCUUAUACCUGCCAAUGCCUCUUGUGUUUCCCAUUUUUAAUAAUAAUUGUAUCCCUUAAUGUUAUUGCACAUAUUUUGUAUUUACUUUUUUAUUUACUUUAAAUGCUUUGUGUAAUGACCUUCCCUUUCUCUAUAAUAAAAAAAUGUAGCCUACCCUUAUGGCCUGAGUCAUGUUUCCCUUACUAAGAAUUCCCUAUCGUAUGCAUAAGUAUUGUCUGUAAACAAUACAAGUGGAAUAGGGGCGAAAAUGUACAAUUCUAAGGCUUGUAUCCUUUAAGUAACUUUACUUUGUCCCUCUGUUAAGCCAAGUAUAUGCAUUUGACAUCACAGUUAUCAGUAAAUGCAAAUUCGGUUUCUCUUCAUUACUCUUUGGUCAGCCUGACAUUUUCAGAGUAAAUUCCAAUCAAUAUUUUUGUGAAUAUUAAGAGCCAGAAUUUAAAUGACACCGCCCAUGAGCAAAAUAUUACACUAACUUUUUAACUCCACUGUUACAGUAAAUUGACUCCCUCCCGUAGCCUACAAACACCAGGCAAUAUCUGGACUUAC